UGCCCUGUAGCUCAGUCGGAAGAGCGCUGGGCUAUGGACCCAGAUGUCGGAGGUUCAAUUCCUUCCAGGGCGC
rnacentral:tRNA from 1 species